GUGCCAGCCGCCGCGGUAAUACGUAGGGCGCGAGCGUUGUCCGGAAUCAUUGGGCGUAAAGCGCGUGUAGGCGGCUGAGUAAGUCUGCUGUGAAAGUCCAGGGCUCAACCCUGGGAUGCCGCAGAUACUGCUUGGCUAGAGUACGGGAGGGCGAGUGGAAUUCCUGGUGUAGCGGUGGAAUGCGCAGAUAUCAGGAGGAACACCUAUGGCGAAGGCAGCUCGCUGGAACGUUCUGACGCUGAG
rnacentral:rRNA from 1 species